GAGUUUGAUCCUGGCUCAGAUUGAACGCUAGCGGGAUGCCUUACACAUGCAAGUCGAACGGCAGCACGGACUUCGGUCUGGUGGCGAGUGGCGAACGGGUGAGUAAUGUAUCGGAACGUGCCCAGUAGCGGGGGAUAACUACGCGAAAGCGUAGCUAAUACCGCAUACGCUCUACGGGGGAAAGCAGGGGAUCGUAAGACCUUGCACUAUUGGAGCGGCCGAUAUCGGAUUAGCUAGUUGGUGGGGUAACGGCUCACCAAGGCGACGAUCCGUAGCUGGUUUGAGAGGACGACCAGCCACACUGGGACUGAGACACGGCCCAGACUCCUACGGGAGGCAGCAGUGGGGAAUUUUGGACAAUGGGGGAAACCCUGAUCCAGCCAUCCCGCGUGUGCGAUGAAGGCCUUCGGGUUGUAAAGCACUUUUGGCAGGAAAGAAACGUCAUGGGUUAAUACCCCGUGAAACUGACGGUACCUGCAGAAUAAGCACCGGCUAACUACGUGCCAGCAGCCGCGGUAAUACGUAGGGUGCAAGCGUUAAUCGGAAUUACUGGGCGUAAAGCGUGCGCAGGCGGUUCGGAAAGAAAGAUGUGAAAUCCCAGAGCCUAACUUCGGAACUGCAUUUU
rnacentral:rRNA from 1 species